AUAAUAUAAUAUAUUUAUAUACAUAUAAUAUUGAUAAUAAUAUUAUGUUACACAAUAUAAUACGAAUAAUACCAUAUAAUAAUAUUAAUUAUAUGAUAUAUAUUACAUAUAAUAUUACAGUAUAGUGGUAUAGUUCAAUAUAGUAAUACAUAAUGCUAAUAUUGUGCUAUGCUAAUAAUAUAAUAUAUUGUAUGUACAUACAGCUGCUCUGAGUCGCCUUCGGGGGUGAGAAGGGCGGGAUAUAAAUGUAGUAAAUGAAUAAAUAAAUAAUUUUAGACUUAGGCUCGCCCAAAGUCUGAAAUGACUUGAAGGCACACAACAACAACAACAAAAACAAUCACUUGACUAUCUCAUUAGCCAGAAGCAGGCCCACACUUCCCAUUGAAAACCUGAUAGGUUUAUGUUGGUUACAAUUGUUUUCAUUUUAAAAUAUUGUAUUGUUCUUUCAUUGUUGUUGUUGUUUUGCACUACAAAUAAGACAUGUGCAGUGUGCAUAGGAAUUUGUUCGUUUCCCCCCCCCAAAUGAUAAUUCGGCCCCUCAACAGUCUGAAGGAUUGUGGACUGGCCCUCUGCUUCAAAAGUUUGGGGACCCCUGCAGUAGAGUCUCACUUAUCCAAGCCUCUGGAUAAUCCAAGCCAUUUUUGUACUCAGUGUUUUCAAUAUAUCGUGAUAUUUUGGUGCUAAAUUCGUAAAUACAGUAAUUACAACAUAACAUUACUGCAUAUUGAACUACUUUUUCUGUCAAAUUUGUUGUAUAACAUGAAGUUUUGGUGCUUAAUUUGUAAAAUCAUAACCUAAUUUGAUGUUCAAUAGGUUUUUCCUUAAUCUCUCCUUAUUAUCCAAGAUAUUCGCUUAUCCAAGCUUCUGCCGGCCAGUUUAACUCGGAUAAGUGAGAUUACUGUACUGUCAAACCAGUUAUUGUUGUUGUGUGCCUUCAAAUCAUUUCUGAUUUAUGGUGCCCUUAAGAUGAACAUUUCAUGUGUUUGUCUUGGCAAGAUGUGUUCAGAGGGGGGUUUCUUUGGACUUUCCCUGAGAUAGUGUGACUUGCCUGUGGUCAGGCCAGAUAUCCCCUCUCAUCCUAAUUCUGUCAUUUGAUUUUUAAGAUUGUUGCUUGCUUGCAAAAUUUUCCUUUCUUUCCGUCUAUUUGGUUUGUCUCUGCCCAGUGUUCUAUUUCCUCAAGGUCACUUUGAAUUUCAUCCUUGCAUUUCUGAGGUGUUCCUUGACAUCGCAAAUGAGAGACAGAACAGACGACAGCCUGUGAUCUCUGCUCAGAGUCGUCCAUUCGGUAUGAGCUGCUGUGAUUCCAGCAACUCCCUGGGAAGGAAACUGGCAGAGAUAAUCUAUUCCUAAUGAGCCAGCUUUGCUAAGUGCUCUUUUAUUGGAGCAAAUAGAAAUCUUUGUUCCUCUCCACCGUGCCCCCACUUCUCUAUUAAAAUGAAAUAUGGGUUCAAUAUAAUCACACCUGGUGGCAAUGCUCUUGUUACAAUUUCAAAUCCCUGAGAGCUACCAAUAGGAUCCUGGGGAGACUGGAGCAUAGGAAAGGGAAGAACUGAGCACAUAGCGGGAUUGGGACUUCAUCUGUGCAGCAAUGAACUUCACUUCUUUUCUGAAUGAAGACGCUUAAAGGUUGCUCCUCUGCUCUUCUAUAAAUCUAGGGCAAGCCAGCUUUAUUUAUUUUACAGACAACUUUGAACAAGAAAUAGAGCAGGGGUCCCCAAACUAAGGCCCGGGGGCCACAUGCGGCCCAUCAAAGCCAUUUAUCUGGCCCCCGUGGUGCGCCUUCCAAAGCUCUGCUUGUUUAUAAUGAUAUUUUAAUUAUUAUUUAAUUAAUAAUUAAUUAUUAAGGGUUGCUUUGGCAGUGCUUUUGGUGCACAAAGGCAAAAGGGGGUUGGACGAAAUGGCCCAAGGGGUCCUUAUUAUUAUUAUUAUUAUUAUUAUUAUUAUUAUUAUUAUUGACACAAAGACACAGUAUAACACAGCAAACUCUAUAUAUAUAUAUAUAUAUAUGUAUGUAUGCUGGAUUUCGUAU
rnacentral:lncRNA from 1 species